rnacentral:rRNA from 1 species
AGCGAACGCUGGCGGCAGGCCUAACACAUGCAAGUCGAGCGCCCCGCAAGGGGAGCGGCAGACGGGAGAGUAACACGUGGGAACGUACCCUUUGGUCCGGAACAACCCAGGGAAACUUGGGCUAAUACCGGAUAAGCCCUUACGGGGAAAGUGUUAUCGCCGAGGGAUCGGCCCGCGUCUGAUUAGCUAGUUGGUGGGGUCACGGCGCACCCAGGCGACGCUCAGAAGCUGGUCUGAGGGGAUGAUCAGCCUCACAGGGCCUGAGACACGGCCCAGACCCCUUCGGCAGGGAGCAGUGGGGAAUAUUGGACAAUGGGCGCAGGCCUGAUCCAGCCAUGCCGCGUGGGUGAUGAAGGCCCUAAGGUUGUAAAGCUCUGUCGGCGGGGAGGAUAAUGACGGUACCCGCAGAAGAAGCCCCGGCUAACUUCGUGCCAGCCGCCGCAGUAAAAC